AGACUGACUUUAUUUCUUUCAGAUCAGCGAUCAAAAGAUCUUAUUGAGAAUUACAGAGAUGUAGAUGAUAAUGUUAGUUUAUUUUAGCAUCACCAUUGCGGAGAUCAUUGUUUGCUUUAGUUGGGCUCCUGACCCUUGACUUUUGUACUUAAAAUUUUGUU